GGGGAAUAUUGCGCAAUGGGGGGAACCCUGACGCAGCCAUGCCGCGUGAAUGAAGAAGGCCUUCGGGUUGUAAAGUUCUUUCGGUAUUGAGGAAGGUUGAUGUGUUAAUAGCACAUCAAAUUGACGUUAAAUACAGAAGAAGCACCGGCUAACUCCGUGCCAGCAGCCGCGGUAAUACGGAGGGUGCGAGCGUUAAUCGGAAUAACUGGGCGUAAAGGGCACGCAGGCGGUUAUUUAAGUGAGGUGUGAAAGCCCCGGGCUUAACCUGGGAAUUGCAUUUCAGACUGGGUAACUAGAGUACUUUAGGGAGGGGUAGAAUUCCACGUGUAGCGGUGAAAUGCGUAGAGAUGUGGAGGAAUACCGAAGGCGAAGGCAGCCCCUUGGGAAUGUACUGACGCUCAUGUGCGAAAGCGUGGGGAGCAAACAGGAUUAGAUACCCUGGUAGUCCACGCUGUAAACGCUGUCGAUUUGGGGGUUGGGGUUUAACUCUGGCGCCCGUAGCUAACGUGAUAAAUCGAUCGCCUGGGGAGUACGGCCGCAAGGUUA
rnacentral:rRNA from 1 species